rnacentral:lncRNA from 1 species
CAGGUGGCUCAGUGGUAAAGAAUCUGCCUGCCAACACAGGAGGCACAGGUUCAAUCCCUGAUCUGGGAUGAUCACACAUGCCAUGGUGUAAGCCUGUGCACCACUCCACAACUACUUAGGCUGUGCUCUAGAGCCCAGGAGCUGCAACUUCUGAGCCCUCAGGCCGCAACUACUAAAGCCCGAGAGCCCUAGAGCCUGUGCUCUGUAAUAAGAGAAGUCACCUGAACGAGAAGCCCAAGCACUGCAACUAGAGACUAGCCUUCACUUCCCACAACUAGAGAAGUCUUCACAGCACUGAAGACCCAGCACAACCAAUAAAUAAAUGAAUAUUUUUUAAAAAUAGAAAUGAAAGGAUUUAAAAAAGCUCAUCCUUAAUAGUAUGGAGUGGGGUGGGGUUAGUCACACACACACACACACACACACACACACACACAGACACACACACACAGUGUGAAUGUGGACAGUGCUCUAACUCUGUGCAGAAGGGAGUGGAGGAAGAGGCACUCCUAUCCAGCCUGUCACCUGUAUGUUCUUAGGAUGACAUCUGUGGAGGCGCCCAGUACGCUGUGAGGGCCAGCACAGUGUGGAAAGAGACUGUGGCAGGAUCCUCUGCAAGAGGACCGAGGUAUCCUGUAUUGACUGCUGUCACUCAGAUCCCACCACAUCGCUGGCUGGGGGCUUGGGGUCGUUAGAUGCACAGGAUGAUAAUACCAGAAAGAUUCCGGAACGAACUCUACUCGAACUUUGGACAAUUAUAAUGAUAUAUUAUUAAAGGCCUUACAUAAACUCGAUGACUGAAUGGGACGAUCGGGAGAUGCAAGAAACCUAAGUGAACGGAAAGGGAGCUCGUCUAGCCUGAGGCUUUCCUGCCUCCGAGAGACUGAGGAUGUCAUCUGGAACUGGGUUCCUUUGCCAACAGAACCUACAUUUGUGAAUCUGCACAGAAGGGCUCAGAAGACUGGAGCUGGUAAACUUUUCAGGGUGGUGAUUCCAGCAGGAAGGCAAUGCUAG